rnacentral:misc_RNA from 1 species
AAAUAAUGUCAAACACAAUCCAACCACCCCUGAUAUUAAUUUACUCAACAUCAUCCUUUAUUAACAAUUCUAAAAGGCGAUUCCUGUUGGAAAGGUCCCUUUUGGAACCAACAUCAAACAUUAAACAAAUAAUUCAGGCUUGACUUGGUCUCUCUAGACUCUCAAUUUGCUUGGGACCUCACCUUUAUUUUAAUUUCUAUGUCGCCAAUCAUACUAUAUCUUUAAAACAAGAUAUCAAACCUUACCAUCUAAACAGCCAAGGGACCCCUGUGCCUGUGGAUCCCCUUUAAACCCUCCAUAAUUUGCUACCCAAAGAAUUUCAAAGAAAAAUAAAAGAAACGGUCAAAGCUCAUCCAAUGUCCGGAAACUGUCUAAAUGCGGAGGCCAAUCAUCCAGCAUCCCAUUUCAGUCCAAGCUAAUUAAUGGGGUUCUUCUCAGAGCUCAGACCCACCACAUCCACAGCUGGUUCCUGUAUAUAUUUCCCAACUUUUUACCCUUUUUCUUGUUGCGGUUAAAAUUGGAGUGCGAGGACUUAGGAGUCAUCAAAUCAGUUAAAAAAGAUUCAUGCUAUGGGGUUGAACUUUGUGAGACACCUUUAGCAGAGUAGCAGUCGGGAUCAUGACCGGCUAUACUGAAAUCGGCCAUCAGCAUGUAGAGAAAAAGAAACAAUCAAUACCUCAUUUCCUGGUCGACUUUAUGUCGUACGAUUCUCCUUUUGUUAUAGUGAAAGAGUGAUAAUACUGUAAAUCUAAGCAAGUUCCAUAUCAUAAUUGAGAGAACUAAGGCUUGUCAUAUGCACAUGGCCUCCUGUACAAGACAUGUAUUCGCUCCAUAGAUCCCGUUAAAGAUCAAAGAAGGAUUAACUAUUAGCUAAUAUAGAACCGCUGGGCCUAUGAGACUACAUGUAUAGAAUGUAUAAAUAAAGGCUUUUAUACAUUAACAUAUUUCCUUUCUAAUGCUUUUUGGGUCAAUCUCUACCGUGGAAUACACUUGCAAAAUUGGCAACAAGAGAAAUAAAUUAAAGAACUAAGAAUUUGAGAGAGAAUAACAAGGAAGAUAAGAAGCUACCCGCCUAAAACUCUUCCAACUAUGACUGUAUUUCACUGACCUCACCUUCCCUACAUACACCCACAUCAACUGCAAUGCUUCCUUUCUUCUUUGAGUUCAUCACCCUGCAGCAGUUUCUUCUUGGAGACUGCCCAAUCCACAUGCACAAACAAAGCAAAACAAACCCACAUUACACAUUCUGAGUUUUAGUGCUACCAAACAAUACCAAUAGCAAGAAAUUAACCAAGUUUCCCAGUUACUUGAAAGCAUGUUAGUUAUUGAUGAGAAUUGCAAAUGGCAAGAACAUCCAAGAUAGCAGUGACAAAUGAAACAAUGUGUAGUUCAAGAGGCACUUACUCUAUCCCAUAGAUGAGGGUCAGGCUUCUUAUAGACCACAACCACAUCAAGCUUAGUAGGAUCAGACAUUUUCCACUUGCAUGCAGGGUGAGGGACACGAUGCCGGCCAUACUCACUCACUGUUACAUUCAAUGAAGAAUCAAAUCUUGUCUUUGACAUGUAAAAUACAAAGGGUUUUUGGCAAGGGUUUCGAGUAACUGGUCGAGUGUUGAAUGCAUAUGCUGUGUAAUCUGCCCUUUUAUACCAAUUCAAAAAUGUUCUUGAAGGCAUUUCUAUUUCUCGAGGCGAAAAGACUCCACGGAAAAUUUGAACUGCAAAGCCCCAAGAAACAGAAAUGGUCCAGCUCUUAGAUUUAUCAUAGCAGAUGGAUUGUUGCAUUAAUCCUGCUGAGUCCAGCUUCAUAGGCACCAUUAGCUGCUGAAGUGCUUGAACUCGAGUCACAUUAGGGAAAAUGGGCUCAACAACAUCAAGGUGAUGCAAUGAGACCAGGGGUGUAACGGGGUGUGCUGCAAGGAGUCCAAACAGGUUUCCAUACACAUCAUACUGGUGAAAUCCGGUUUCCUUGGUGAGAGGUACACCGAGUUCAGCCAUACAAGCCUGCAUUCGGUCGUCAGAUCCGUAGAGCCCAGGAUAUCUCUGAAUACACUUAUCUUGCAUUUUAUCGAGCGCUUUUGCUAAUGGGUAGCUUAUGGCAAAACCGCCGCCGCCAUAGGCCAUCCCAUAAGAGAAAUAUAUGUUUUGCAAAUGGGACUCCGAUAAGCUCCCGAUAUAAUAAUACUGAUUAUGAUCAUACUUCCUCAGCACUCUAACUAGAUUCUCCGUGAUAAAAACGGUGUCGUCGUCCCCCAUUACGAACCACCUCACAUUGUUGAGACCAAGACGCAGUGUUUCCGACACGAUCCGCGAGAUCCGUAUCGCCGAUCGAUGGCCUUGGCGGUUCGUGUAAGCGAAACGGGAAGUAUCGCCGGAGAUUUUAACCGGGGGUAACCCGUCCCUUUCACGGGUCUUGACAGCAUCAUCUAGCCACACAAUGCCUCGCAUUUUCUCAGGUUUAAACCAAAUCUUGAUAUAGUUCUUCCUCUGUUCCCAUAGCUUAGCUGAGGCAGCGAUGCCAAAAACUAUAUGGUGAAUCUCCGUCGGUUGAUGGGUUUCUUGGUUGCCUCCCCGGUGAAUGGUUAAGGCCGUGUGAUUUUGAAUCAAGGGCUGAGAAUGAUUAGAGAUAAUGGAGAGAUGAUGAUGGGUAGAGAAAGGCUCGUGAUUGCAGUCGCGCGAAGUAGCGACCAGCUUGAGGGUGUAAACAACAUAGGUGAGUGAAACGAAUAGGAUAAGCCAUACCAUAAGCUUAGGUAGGAUUCGAGUCUGUGAACCAGGUCCAGAAAUGGGGUUUCCAGAUGGGCUUCUCAUCUGAUCCCAAAUUAUUUUCUCUGAAUCUUUCUGAGUUGUUACUUUCAUAUUUUUAUAAUUCAACUAUUUACUUCCUAUUCUCCCCUUUUGGCUCCUUAUAGCAAUCGCUACAAAAAUGUCUGUCAAAAGCCGUUGGGUUUUGCAGAAUUUGGAAGUUAGCAAUAGAAAAUGGAACAUGAAUGUAUU